AAGGUAUUCUCUCCGUCCGAAAAAGCUUGUCCCUCAAAUGGAUGUAUUUAGCACUAACUUGGUGCUAGAUACAUCCAUUUGAGGGACAAGCUUUUUCGAACGGAGGGAGUAUUAG
rnacentral:pre_miRNA from 1 species